rnacentral:rRNA from 1 species
AUUGAACGCUGGCGGCAUGCCUAACACAUGCAAGUCGAACGGCAGCACGGGGCAACCCUGGUGGCGAGUGGCGGACGGGUGAGGAAUACAUAGGAAUCUGCCCUGUUGUGGGGGAUAACGUAGGGAAACUUACGCUAAUACCGCAUACGACGGCGACGUGAAGGUGGGGGACCGCAAGGCCUCACGCGAUAGGAUGAGCCUAUGUCCGAUUAGCUAGUUGGCGGGGUAAGAGCCCACCAAGGCGACGAUCGGUAGCUGGUCUGAGAGGAUGAUCAGCCACACUGGAACUGAGACACGGUCCAGACUCCUACGGGAGGCAGCAGUGGGGAAUAUUGGACAAUGGGCGCAAGCCUGAUCCAGCAAUGCCGCGUGGGUGAAGAAGGCCUCGGGUUGUAAAGCCCUUUUGUACGGGACGAAAAGUCUUGGGUUAAUACCCCUGAGGUGAUGACGGUACCGUAAGAAUAAGCACCGGCUAACUUCGUGCCAGCAGCCGCGGUAAUACGAAGGGUGCAAGCGUUAAUCGGAAUUACUGGGCGUAAAGCGUGCGUAGGUGGUUUGUUAAGUCUGAUGUGAAAGCCCUGGGCUCAACCUGGGAACGGCAUUGGAUACUGGCUUACUAGAGUGCGGUAGAGGGUAGCGGAA